GGGUUUGUGGCUCAGUGGUAGAGCACUUGCCUAGCAAGUAUAAGGCACUGGGUUCAAUUCCCAGCACUGCCA
rnacentral:tRNA from 1 species